rnacentral:precursor_RNA from 1 species
CUGAGCCAAAUCUUUAUGUUAAGAAAACAAAGGAUAGGUGCAGAGACUCAAUGGAAGCUGUUCUAACAAAUGGAAUUGACGUUGACUACGUUGCGUUGGUAGCUGGAAUCCCUCUAUCGAAAUUACAGAAAGGAUGACCCUAUAUGCGUAUAUAUACAUACUGACAUAUCAAACGAUUAAUCACAACUCGAAUCUGGAAUCCAUAUUAUUAACUAUAACUAUAUAUUAUAGUUAUUAUUAUAUAUAUUUUUUUAUAUUUUAAAAAAGAUAUAUUUUUAUAUAAAUUUAUAGAUUAAUUAAGAGUUAUUAUAAAUAUAUUCCAGUCGAAGUUGAAGGAAGAAUCGAAUAUUCAGUAUUCAGUGAUCAAAUCAUUCAUUCCGGAGUCGGAUAGAUCUUUUGAAAAAAUGAUUAAUCGGACGAGAAUAAAGAGAGAGUCCUGUUCUACGUGUCAAUACCGACAGCAAUGAAAUUUAUAGUAUUAGGAAAAUCCGUCGACUUUAGAAAUCGUGA